UCCACGUUAAUCUCUCCUCACCCCCUCUGCUAAUCUCUCACACUCUCUCCCGUACAUAUCUCCUCCAUUCCUCUUCCACCUUUGUUCCCCGUUCUUUUCUUUUCCCCAAAAACCCGCCGCCGCAGCUGUUCAAACUCCGGCCAGUCGCCGGCACCACCACUGUGUUGUUUCUUCUGAUUAAUUCACCCGCGAUUCUUCGAGUUCCUAGGCAAUCCAGACGCAGCCUUGCUGUUUUCGGACGAAUCCAGCCCUGUUCUUCAGCCUCCAGUGUUGUGUUAGCGCGGUUCCGGUUAGAGAGCCUAACAGUAUAGUGCAGUCUUAUCUCUAGCAUUCUAUUAUCAAGAUGCCAAGGAUUAGAGCAGCCGCUUAUAAAGUUUCCCAGAGUUAUCUUUUGUGCUAGGAAAAUCGCAGGAUGAUGCUAGGAGUCUUGGACUAAGUGUGGAUUAGUUAGUACGACUUGUUUCUUUGAAGUUGUAUUAUAGUGUCAGUAUGGUUGUAGUGGAAAACUCAUGUAGUAAGGAACCUAUGUCGUUGUUCGUUUGCAGUAACAGUUUAAACCUUUCGCAGACUUAAACCUGGCAAGAUCUUUGGUCAGGGGUGUAAUGGUAUAUAUUUAUUAUGUUAAUCUA